rnacentral:tRNA from 1 species
GGGCUGAUACUCAAGUUGGUGAAGAGGGCACCCUGCUAAGGUGUUAGGUCGUUUACACGGCGCGAGAGUUCGAACCUCUCUCAGUCCGCCA